rnacentral:rRNA from 1 species
AGUGGGGAAUUUUGGACAAUGGGAGAAAGCGUGAUCCAGCCAUACCGCGUGAGUGAAGAAGGCUUUCGGGUUGUAAAGCUCUUUCAGCGGGAGAGAAAUUGUUUCUAUUAAUACUAGGAGUAGAUGACGGUACCGGAAGAAGAAGCACCGGCAAAUUACGUGCCAGCAGCCGCGGUAAUACGUAGGGUGCGAGCGUUUUUGGGAAUUAUUGGGGGUAAAGGGUGGGCGGGCGGUUUUUUAAGCCAGAUGUGAAAUCCCCGGGUUCAACCUGGGAAUUGCUUUUGGAACUGGAAGACUAGAGUGUGGCAGAGGGGGGUGGAAUUCCACGUGUAGCAGUGAAUUGGGUAGAUAUGUGGAGGAAUACCAAUGGGGAAGGCAGCCCCCUGGGUUAACACUGACGUUCAUGCAGGAAAGCGUGGGGAGCAAACAGGAUUAGAUACCCUGGUGGUCCACGCCGUAAACGAUGUCAACUAGGUGUUGGGGGAGGAGACUCCUUUAGUA